CUCGUGACUUUUCAGAAAAAGGGAACGUAAACAACGUUGUUGUUGUUCACCAGGUCGCGUACUUUACCCACGCCCGAGCCGCCCGACCAGUUGACCCAAGGAGCCAGUACAGGUUCCAAUGCACAUAGUUGGGAGAGAGCCAAACAGAGCUUCAAAGUUCGUUGUGAAAAGCAGCGACCGCAUUCUCCCUUCUUCUCCAGAGCCAAGCACUUUCACCUGGGUAAGCGGAUUCUUCAGGUGUUUACCCCAGUUCUCAAAAUAACCUGCUUGCCUCCGUGCUCUCUGGUGUCUCAGUUUCAGGCAUCAUCUCCUGACUCUCAGCUUUCUUCUCCCUGAUUCCCUGUCCACAAGCAUGAGUCUUAUCUUCCUCCUCCUUCCAAACUGGUUAUAUUAAGAUUUUGCUUAAAUCAAUAUCCAGCGUCUGCACUCUUGUAACUAUGUAAAUACCACACACAGCAGUGGAGUCGUGUAGAAAAUUGUGAUUCCCUUCCCCCCGCCCCCCUUUCCGGGUCUGUUAGUCUUCUCUGGAGAUAAUUGUCUUAGUUCUGUGUUUGCUUGGAUUUCUAUGUACUUAAUACAGAUGCAACCCUCAAAACUUAAAUCUUUUUUCAAGAAA